AUUGAACGCUGGCGGCAUGCCUUACAAAUGUAAGUCGAACGGUAGCGGGCCUUCGGGUGCCGACGAGUGGCGAACGGGUGAGUAAUGCAUCGGAACGUACCUUUCAGUGGGGGAUAACGUAGCGAAAGUUACGCUAAUACCGCAUAUUCUGUGAGCAGGAAAGCAGGGGAUCGCAAGACCUUGCGCUGAUUGAGCGGCCGAUGUCAGAUUAGCUAGUUGGUGAGGUAAAGGCUCACCAAGGCGACGAUCCGUAGCGGGUCUGAGAGGAUGAUCCGCCACACUGGAGCUGAGACACGGUCCAGACUCCUACGGGAGGCAGCAGUGGGGAAUUUUGGACAAUGGGGGCAACCCUGAUCCAGCCAUGCCGCGUGAGUGAAGAAGGCCUUCGGGUUGUAAAGCUCUUUCGGCCGGGAAGAAAUCGUAUGGGCUAAUACCCUGUGCGGAUGACGGUACCGGCAUAAGAAGCACCGGCUAACUACGUGCCAGCCGCCGCCGUAACAC
rnacentral:rRNA from 1 species